CCGGGAUAGCUCAGUUGGUAGAGCAGAGRMCUGAAAAUCCUCGUGCCC
rnacentral:tRNA from 1 species